rnacentral:rRNA from 1 species
UUUCCGGUUGAUCCCGCCGGACCUGACUGCUAUCGGAUUGAUACUAAACCAUGCGAGUCUUUGUAGUAAUACAAGGCAGACGGCUCAGUAACACGUAGUCAACCUACCCUAUGGACGGGAAUAAUCUCGGGAAACUGAGCAUAAUACCCGGCGUACCACCAUUCCUGGAAUGGUUGGUGGUUAAAAUGAUUCGUCGCCGUAGGAUGGGACUGCGACCUAUCAGCUUGUUGGUGAGGUAAAGGCCCACCAAGGCGAUUACAGGUACGGGCUCUGAGAGGAGAAGCCCGGAGAUGGGUACUGAGACACGGACCCAGGCCCUAUGGGGCGCAGCAGGCGAGAAAACUUUGCAAUGUGCGAAAGCACGACAAGGUUAAUCCGAGUGAUUUCUGCUAAAGGAAUCUUUUGCCGGUUCUAAAAAUACUAGUGAAUAAGGGGUGGGCAAGUUCUGGUGUCAGCCGCCGCGGUAAAACCAGCACCUCAAGUGGUCAGGAGGAUUAUUGGGCCUAAAGCAUCCGUAGCCUGCUCUGUAAGUUUUCGGUUAAAUCUAUACGCUCAACGUAUAGGCUGCCGAAAAUACUGCAGUGCUAGGAAGUGGGAGAGGUAGACGGUACUUGAUA